rnacentral:rRNA from 1 species
UACGUAGGGGGCAAGCGUUGUCCGGAUUUAUUGGGCGUAAAGAGCGUGUAGGCGGCCAUACAGGUCAGCUGUGAAAACUCGAGGCUCAACCUCGAGACGUCGGUUGAAACCGUAUGGCUAGAGUCCGGAAGAGGAGAGUGGAAUUCCCGGUGUAGCGGUGAAAUGCGCAGAUAUCAGGAAGAACACCCGUGGCGAAGGCGGCUCUCUGGAACGCAACUGACGCUGAGACGCGAAAGCGUGGGGAGCAAACAGG